GAUAGAUAGAUAGAUAGAUAGAUAUGUUAAAGUGGAUAAUGGUUUUGUGACCAUAAUCAGGUGUAAUUUUAUUGAAGUAAUCAACAUUUUAAUAAUUCCAGAUUUCAUACAAAUACAAAAAUAUGCAAAAGAUGGACCCAUUUGAAUAAAUUAUAUAGCCUAUUAUAAUUGAGAAUCAUUAUAAACCUCUGUCCUACAUAACAUCACCUAUCUAGCAACUCUGUCCACCUGUUGUAAAAAGAAAUCCAUUUUUUAAUAUCAUCUUUGAGUUUAGGUAAUGAAAUCUUUGAGUUUAGGCAAUGAAAUCGGCUCAGUCCAGUUCCUAUCCCAAUGUAAAUGCAAUUCUCAUGCAAUUUCUCCUCCAGCACUAAGAUACAUAUGCAUACAUUCCCCACAUUUGUCACAGAGAAGGCAUAUGUUAUGCACAAAAUCUAAAUUGUUUUUUAUAUAAAAAAGACUUGCUGUGGUACAUCUGUCUGCAUAAGCUGUUCAUUUUCGAUCCCACUAGGAAGUAUUCCAUCCAAAAGGUCCUGCCUCCACAACGGGCUCAGCUCACCCACUUUAAAGCAAAAUAUUUAAAAUAACUGAUACAAUUAUUAAUAUAUCAUUUUACUCAAAUAUUUAUUUUCUUAAUAUCUGUAUUUUCAAAAGCAGUAAAAAUGACUUAUUGUCAACUAUUUAUAAUUUGCUUUGUUGAUUUAUCUCUUGG